rnacentral:rRNA from 1 species
UCAGUUCGGCUGGAUUGGAUACAGGUGUUGCAUGGCUGUCGUCAGCUCGUGUCGUGAGAUGUCGGGUUAAGUCCUUUAACGAGCGCAACCCUCAUUGCAUGUAAUUUUUCAUGCGAGACUGCCCUGGUUAACAGGGAGGAAGGUGGGGAUGACGUCAAGUCAGCAUGGCCCUUACACCUUGGGCUACACACGUGUUACAAUGGCCGGUACAAUAAGUCGCAAUACCGUAAGGUGGAGCUAAUCUAUGAAAACCGGUCCCAGUUCGGAUUGGGGGCUGAAACUCGCCCCCAUGAAGUCGGAAUCGCUAGUAACCGUGAAUCAGCACGUCACGGUGAAUACGUUCCCGGGUCUU